UGGUGCCAGCAGCCGCGGUAAUUCCAGCUCCAAUAGCGUAUAUUAAAGUUGUUGCAGUUAAAAAGCUCGUAGUUGAAUUUCGGGAUCAAUAUUUCGGUCAUGCCGUUGGUAUGCACUGUUAUCAUUGAUUUCUCACCUUCUAAAGAACCGUGAUGCCAUUAAUUUGGUGUUACGGGGAAUUAGGACUGUUACCUUGAAAAAAUUAGAGUGUUUAAAGCAGGCUCACGCUUGAAUACAUUAGCAUGGAAUAAUGAAAUAGGACAUCCGAUUCUAUUUUGUUGGUUUCUAGGAUCGAUGUAAUGAUUAAUAGGGAUAGUUGGGGGCAUUAGUAUUCAAUUGUCAGAGGUGAAAUUCUUGGAUUUAUUGAAGACUAACUACUGCGAAAGCAUUUGCCAAGGAUGUUUUCAUUAAUCAAGAACGAAAGUUAGGGGAUCGAAGACGAUCAGAUACCGUCGUAGUCUUAACCAUAAACUAUGCCGACUAGGGA
rnacentral:rRNA from 1 species